rnacentral:rRNA from 1 species
UACGAAGGGGGCUAGCGUUGCUCGGAAUCACUGGGCGUAAAGGGCGCGUAGGCGGCCUGCUAAGUCGAACGUGAAAUCCCCGGGCUCAACCUGGGAAUUGCAUUCGAGACUGAAUAGCUAGAAUGCGGAAGAGGGAAGCGGAAUUUCCGGUGUAGCGGUGAAAUGCGUAGAUAUCGGAAGGAACAUCAGUGGCGAAAGCAGCUUCCUGGUCCAGCAUUGACGCUCAGGUUCGAAAGCGCGGGGAGCAAGCAGG